UAAAGAGAUAGGAAUUGAACCUACGCCUUAGAGAUCAAAACUCUUUGCACUCCCGCUAUGCUACUCUUUAG
rnacentral:tRNA from 1 species